UACGUAGGGUGCGAGCGUUGUCCGGAAUUAUUGGGCGUAAAGAGCUCGUAGGCGGUCUGUCGCGUCGAUCGUGAAAACUUGGGGCUUAACCCUGAGCUUGCGGUCGAUACGGGCAUGACUGGAGUUCGGCAGGGGAGACUGGAAUUCCUGGUGUAGCGGUGAAAUGCGUAGAGAUCGGCAGGAACACCCAGGGGGAAAGCAGCUGCCUGGGCAAGCGCUGACGCUGAGGUGCGAGAGCGUGGGGAGCGAACCGG
rnacentral:rRNA from 1 species